CUACGGGCCGCUGCAGUGGGGAAUAUUGCACAAUGGAGGAAACUCUGAUGCAGCAACGCCGCGUGGAGGAUGACACUUUUCGGAGCGUAAACUCCUUUUAUAUAGGAAGAAGAUGACGGUACUAUAUGAGUAAGCGCCGGCUAACUCCGUGCCAGCAGCCGCGGUAAUACGGAGGGCGCAAGCGUUACUCGGAAUCACUGGGCGUAAAGAGCGUGUAGGCGGAUUAAAAAGUCAGAAGUGAAAUCCUAUAGCUUAACUAUAGAACUGCUUCUGAAACUCUUAAUCUAGAAUGUGGGAGAGGUAGAUGGAAUUUCUGGUGUAGGGGUAAAAUCCGUAGAGAUCAGAAGGAAUACCGAUUGCGAAGGCGAUCUACUAGAACAUUAUUGACGCUGAGACGCGAAAGCGUGGGGAGCAAACAGGAUUAGAUACCCCGGUAGUC
rnacentral:rRNA from 1 species